rnacentral:rRNA from 1 species
GACGAACGCUGGCGGCGUGCUUAACACAUGCAAGUCGAACGGAAAGGCCCUGCUUUUGUGGGGUGCUCGAGUGGCGAACGGGUGAGUAACACGUGAGUAACCUGCCCUUGACUUUGGGAUAACUUCAGGAAACUGGGGCUAAUACCGGAUAGGAGCUCCUGCUGCAUGGUGGGGGUGGGAAAGUUUCGGCGGAUGGGGAUGGACUCGCGGCUUAUCAGCUUGUUGGUGGGGUAGUGGCUUACCAAGGCUUUGACGGGUAGCCGGCCUGAGAGGGUGACCGGCCACAUUGGGACUGAGAUACGGCCCAGACGCAUACGGGAGGCAGCAGUGGGGAAUAGUGGACAAUGGGCGGAAGCCUGAUGCAGCAACGCCGCGUGCGGGAUGACGGCCUUCGGGUUGUAAACCGCUUUCGCCUGUGACGACGCGGGAGUGACGGUAAUGGGUAAAGAAGCACCGGCUAACUACGUG